AGACGGAGGGUGCAAGCGUUAAUCGGAAUUACUGGGCGUAAAGCGCUCGUAGGCGGCCUGUUAAGUCGGAUGUGAAAGCCCCGGGCUCAACCUGGGAACUGCAUUCGAAACUGGCAGGCUAGAGUAUAGUAGAGGCAAGUGGAAUUCCGGGUGUAGCGGUGAAAUGCGUAGAUAUCCGGAGGAACAUCAGUGGCGAAGGCGACUUGCUGGACUAAUACUGACGCUGAGGAGCGAAAGCGUGGGGAGCAAACAGGAUUAGAAACCCCAGUAGUCC
rnacentral:rRNA from 1 species